rnacentral:lncRNA from 1 species
CUUCUGAGGCAAGGUCACAAAAGGCAUAUAGCUUCCUCUUCCUUAUGGUUUUCUUGGAACAUCGGGAAGCACAAGCAGCUGCAUGUAGGUGUUCUGGCCAAAGUCCCCGGUGGGGCGUUGAAGUCCCACUGUUAGGUCUUCAGCGUUAAUUGCCAGACAUGUGAGUAGUGACAAGCUUUUAGAUGGCUCUGCCCUCAGCCAUUGGGUUACCUGCAGCCUUUCAGUCUUUUUAACAAAGGCCCCAGACUUUGUGGAGCAAAGAGAAGCUGUCCUCACCUUGCUCUUUCCAAAUUUCUGAGCUACAGAAUCUGAUACUGAGAUUUCAGAAUAUGGUUUGUUGCUGUUGUUGCUCACCUGUGUUUUCUGACUUUGCUGCAGAUUUUCUAUGAAUGGAUUUUCUGCCUUCUGGUAAAACACAAACAUGUUUAACGGGCCCCCAAAUUCCCCUGGCUGGAUUUGUUUUACAUUCAGGAGCAAAGCCAUUAAUGCAAUUUCAGCGCUCCCCAAAGACAGCCACUGUCUGGAAGCUGGCGUAUGACCUUCCCACCUUCACCUCCUUGUGUGUGUUUUACACGCAGGCCUUUACUGUCUGGAGCUGUCUUCCCUGGAGCUUCUGAGCCAUAGGCGAGAAUGGUGUCUGGAGAUACAUAGGAUCUACAUAAUUGAAAACUCCCCAAAUCCAUCUCUCAUGUGAAGUAUCGACUGCUUUUGUUCCUUUCACUUUCUUAUUAUUUUUUUUCCUUUUCUACUUACGGAGACUCAUUUUUCUAACUGAAAAUAGAAAACUUUAUCAGAUUGGAAUAACAGUCCCUCUUGCUGUAGUUUUUUUUCCCCAAAGACUGGAUGAAUUUGGGCCUCGUCAGAAAGCCAUCUGCUGUGUACGAACAGACCUAUUCAGAGCCAGGAAAAGAAAACGAAGGAGGGGGAAAGCCCUGGCUUACUCAUUUUAAAACAAAGAGCUGCGGCUUGCGAACUCCACCACGCCUUUGACAAAAGCUGACCGUGGGCAGCGGGCACUGACUGGGAAGGGAGGAUGUGAAGAGCUCUGCAUUGCACACGGUGGUGACCUUGCAGAACUUUGCUACCAAUAAAGAAAAGAUGUUUACUGAACAGGGAAGGAGGCUCCAAGUCAUUCCCUCUAAGUUGGCACCAGUUCUCCAUGGAAAAUGGCCAUUUGGUUUGUGUUCCAUUGCCUGCUUCAUCAAUGCCCUCUCCUUACUGGCUCUAUUUAACUUCUUGUUAUUCCUGCUGUGUCAGGC